rnacentral:rRNA from 1 species
UACGUAGGGUGCGAGCGUUGUCCGGAAUUAUUGGGCGUAAAGAGCUCGUAGGCGGCUUGUCACGUCGGUUGUGAAAGCCCGGGGCUUAACCCCGGGUCUGCAGUCGAUACGGGCAGGCUAGAGUUCGGUAGGGGAGAUCGGAAUUCCUGGUGUAGCGGUGAAAUGCGCAGAUAUCAGGAGGAACACCGGUGGCGAAGGCGGAUCUCUGGGCAUGUCCUGACGCUGAGGAGCGAAAGUGUGGGGAGCGAACAGG